rnacentral:misc_RNA from 1 species
AAAGUCGUAACAAGGUUUCCGUAGGUGAACCUGCGGAAGGAUCAUUACACUCAGUAGUUUACUACUGUUAAGGGGGCUGUUAGUCUGUAUAGCUUAAUCGCUGAUGAGCAGCAGGCCUUCUUUCCACACCCUUGUCUUUUGCGUACCCAUGUUUCCUCGGCAGGCAAGCCUGCCGAUUGGACAAUUUAUAACCUUUUUAAUUUUUAAUCAGCGUCUGAAAAACUUAAUAAUUACAACUUUCAACAACGGAUCUCUUGGUUCUG